AUGUCCAGCGACAUGAUGACUUCCCCGGUUGUCUCUGGGCUUUCUAUCUUUGCGCUGCUGAUUGUGGACAUUUGCUGCUUUCCUUAUAACCAAGGCUCAAAUCCCAGCGCUUCCCAUGUCAGCAGUUACUCACAAGCUGCUCCUGCUGUAAAUGCAAACCAGGGAGAUCAGUCUGUAGUUUGGCCUCUCAAAGCGCCUUCUAAAGCUGUCAUCAUACGACAUAAUCCAACUCAACCACAUGUGGGGCCCGGCAUCUCUCAGCCUACUGCUCAAAGAGGACCGGCACCGUCCGUUGCCCUCAGUUCUUCUUCUGGGCCCAUCUCCUCAGGCUUCAGGGACCCUUCAGUGAGGAAACUCCCCCUCAGCUCUGCACAACCAGGAGCUGCUUUUCAACCUGGUCCUGAAAGAAUCCACAUGGCUCCUCCCAAUCCUAACUCUGGAGGUGUGGCAAUGUCGUCUGGCAUCCGUGACGUUGCUUCCAGUUUCCCUGAGGCAGUGAGUCCAAUUCAGCCACCAACUGAAUCACAGUACAAAGCGGGAGAGCUCUCCCAGUUUGAUAGAAGCUUUGACUAUGGCAACAACGAGAUGGAGACUGAGCAACGCGGCAGUCGGCCUCCACCACCCUUCUUUGGUCCAGCGUCUGCUGGACAAGGUUUUGCAGGACCACUUCAGCCGAACACCAACAUCGGUUUAGGAUUUGACUUCUUUCCUUCCCCUUACUACGACUACAUGUUCCUGACUGGCCAGUAUCCUCCAGGCACCUUCAGUCAUACCAGCAGCAGCUAUAAUCAGGGGAGGGACUACUACGAAGAUAUUCAGUAUGAGAGACCCGGUCGUGAGCAGCCGAUGGCGCCAGUCGCUGACUUUCAAUCCCCCCAGAGCAUCAAGGGUCCCAAUCCUCGGAUGGCUGGUUACAGGCAAGUUGGUGCAAAGGCCAAACCUGAUUCUUCCCACAGAGGCUUCAGGCCGGUUAGUGGCCAAGCUGGUGGCCGCAACCAAGUUAAGGUGGGGAUGCCUUCAGUGUACAAAGCCUUUUGAAUGCAAUAAAAGUUUUAAGAUGUCAACUUGACUGCUUUCCUUAUAUUUUUUUUUUUGAUGUGCCAAAAUUAUGCACGACAGGUUUAUUUGGAGAUGAAGAUUCAUACACCUGAACAUGGAUUAAUUUUAUAGAAUUUACUGGAAAAUGUUUACAGCUGUAGCAUUGGUAAUCUGUAUAAACUGCAUCCAGUUUGUGUUAUACAGCAUUUCUCAGUUGCUUUGGUACAUUUCUUGACUACUCUUUGACAUUUGCAAAAGGACGUGCAUUUUUCAAAAUUCGUACAAAUCUCAGAACACCACGAUUGCCUGCAAAAGCUCUUGCUCUCAGUUCAUCUCAAAGUGAAAUCUGUCAGUGCCGUCCGAAUGAGUCAUUGUGUACGGAUCAAACUGUCAAAUCGCUUAGUUGUGUUGUCUGCCAAACCUUGUACUCUAGUGGUUUUGCUCUGGUGUAAAUGAUGGCAUUGUAAGUUACACCUUGGUGUCUGGGAGAUUGCAAGAGACUGGACAAGAUUCACUUUCCCACUUUUACGGUUUGUACUGUAAUGUGUUAACACUGUGUAGUCUUUUCCUUUCAGUAUUGUAAUGCCAAAAACCAGUGAACAUAGAACAAUCUCCUUCGGGAAAGCUGUAUAUCCUGUGUUGUAGGAAUUACAGUGCAGUCUUCCUACACCUUGUCGUGCCACAAAUUUUCAUCCACAUCACAACGAAUAUCUUUUGCGAUGCAGAUUGGAAAGAAUCUUUUAGACAGUCUCAUCCAGCCUCUGCUGUAAUGUCAUCACAGGGUCCAUCCAUGGUGGCCAGCAGGUCCAUCCAUGUGUCAUUUCUGGCGAUCACUUUCCAUCUCAAUGCUGAGAAAUUCCUCAACAGGGUUAAGUAAUGGGGAGUAGGAUGAGUAACUCCAUCAGCAUCCUGUUGUGGGUCGCUCACCGUUGCCGCGAUGGAAACCAACAUUGUCCCAAACUAUCACGUACUUUGGCAAGUCCUCUCCAAUCUGACCGCUCUUGUUCAGGCAUGAGAUCCCUUUGGAGUGUAAAAAGGUGACAGGACUAUUUGGCCCAAUGUGUGCAAAAGGUUGGCUGUUCUCAUCCGCAACACUCGUAUGUCCUUGGCCUCUUAACUCUGCCUCUUGUGUUUUGCCUCCCAACUCUUCCUCUUUGGCAGUUGACCACGUCCAAUUCCCGGUCCGUCCAUUGUCAGACAUUGUAACAUUGUGUUGUGCUUCAGCUAUGUAUACAGUAAACUUGCCCGUUGAUGGUUCAUGAGAUGCCCCUUCGUCAAGAUGUGAAGUCAAGAUUCACCUGGGAGCAAUUUACCAAUUUAGGACAGAUUUAGAAAAAACAUCUAAUGGAAAUGUAUAGAAAUCUGCUUGACAUGACAACUUGUUCAACCAUUUUGCAUGUAUAGACUUCUGUGAUGAACUAAUGCCUAAAUGUUGUGGGAGGUAAGACUUCAACAGGGACCCAUUAUAAUACAUUUUGAUCAACAUGACAUAAGCAAUUGAUAAUGUAGGAAAACACAGAAUUGUACAUAAUCAUAACAUUCUGUAAGUACGGCUGUAGUAAAGUUUAAAACUAUUUCUCCCUGCUGUAGUGGUAGCACAUGAUUUUAUUUUAAUGGAAUAGUAUCAAAAGAUAUUAAUUGGCCAUGGUGCAUAACACUAAACUGCAUAACAAUAACUUUUGUACUGCUUGAAUAACUUUGUACUUUGAAGAAAAAAAACUUGAACAAUGGCUCUGCCACAAAAAAGACCGACAUUAGUCACACUGAAUAUUACUUGUGACGCAGCGGAGGAAACUAAGGCGCACUUGGACCUGCAGAGCAAGGAGCGGUACUUCUCCGCUCUCUGCACACUGUACUCUUUCACUGCCUCCAUCCUCCGUCACUGCAGCGGCCGCUGCAUCUGUGUUCUCCCCUCCGGAUGAAGGUAUGGGACAAACAAUCUGUCGAAGUGGACCGCCAUCGUGGGAGGGCAUGACGUCACGUAAGUCAGACGGCUAUGGACUGGAAAUACAUCGGAGGCUCUUCGUGAACUUCUGUUCAUCUUUCACUACAGCUGAUUGCGGGACUGUAGACGUGGGAUGCAGCUCAGUGAGAGCAGCAACCACCUACAGUAUUACUGCAGACACUGAUAAUGCACUACAUUCUGCUGCCAGUGUAUAAAAUGAAAAUGUGAGGCUUCAAUUUAAUUUCUCAUUCAGACAUUUACAAUCAACAGACCAGCGAACGUCACCGUACAACAUGCAUCAUGAGCUGCGUCAUCCUUUAAAUGAACUGUGACUGAGUUAUGUGUAGUCUCCCUGUUGGUACUCACGAGGAGGUGUUUGUUCAGUGUAAAGCAUUAGUUCCCUUUUUUCUUGAUGCUAAACAAUCAUCUCUUUGUGAUCCUUUUGCUUUGGUUGAAAUUUAAAACUGAUUAGCUCAGUCAGUGAUUUUCUCUUCUGAAAUCAUUCAUUUUGAUUUGUUUUAGAGACCUGAAGAAGUAAAACGAAAGUAGUUUACAUUUUCAUGCAAGCAAAUAUUAUUAAUAUUAUUCAUAUGUGCUUGCCGUUAAUAGCUCAACAGCAGGGGUCAUAACAUGUGGCGAUAAUGGGAUUACAGUUCAUUUUUAUUUUUAGAUGGUUACAAGGGCUUAACAAUAGGUCAAAUUGAAAACAACAUACAAACAAAAUGUUGCACUAAACUUUCUCUUUGGUUUUCGUUUGAUCCCCUAAAGUAAAUAGAUUCAUAGGACUGAGAGCAAAGUCAGUUACCGGUUCUGUUGGAUUCCAUAGAUUUCAAGCACAGAUUUUAGCAACAAAAACGUACUGGGACAACUUGAGCUAAAAUAUAACCGUGAGGGCGUCAUGUUUGAUCCUUAGAGCGGACAGCUCCUCAGGGAGGAUUUGCAGGCCUGGACCGCAAGCAGCUUCCCUCUUUGUUGGUUUCAGGUGCUUCUUUUUUCCCUUUUGUAAGGGUUUUUUCAUUUUUUGGGGAGUUUUUCCUGUGCCGAUGGUGGGUUUCGGGGCAGAGGAUGUUGUAUGUGUACAGACUGUAAAGCCCUCUGAGGCAAAUUUGUAAUUUGCGAUAAUGGGCUAUACAAAAUAAAAUGACUUGACUUGACUUCUUUCUACUACUUUGUGAAAUAAACGUGAAUAGAAACUCUGAAAUGUCUGAGUGUCAUAUAUCGAACAGACAUUUAGAAUCAUUCAGCUGAAUGGCCUCUUUUCCGACAGAAGUUCUAACAGCGAGUAAAGGUUUUAGCCUUUAGCCGAGUCUGGACAAGUGCUGCUGUUUCUGCUUUAGAGAGACACGUGUAGGUUGAGGAAACAGCUCAUGUGUUUUGUUGGGUGUCGAGUUCUGCUUUUGUGAGUUCUUCAUGCGCACAAUUUUCAGUUAAGUAUUAACUUUAAAUAGAACACACUGGCCAUUUCAGUUUUUAAAGUUUAUCAAAACACAUACUACCCAGAAUGGUUUUCAUAUGUGCAUCAUCAAUCGCUAAGGUUAAGACAUUAGCUGCUUUGCAAGUUGCAACUCAAGCAGCAAGUUACGAAAUGUUAGCAGUUCAACAUUGUAAGACGAGGUGGAAUAGAUAUCGGACCCCCAUCUCUGACCUGUUUACAGACACAACAUGCAAGGAAUUUAGGAUGAGCUUUGUAACGAGCAAUAAUCAAAUAAUAAUUAAUAAUAACAACAAUUUUUGAGACAUUCAACCAUCCAAAUAUUUACAUGAUCACCUAAAACGUCCACUAUUGAAUUGACAUCAUGCGUGAGACUGUUACUUUUUUCAUAUACACAUGAUUUUACCUCCCACCACAAUGAUUUCUGCAUUUUAGUAGCUUAUAAAUGUUUUUUCCCCAUGUGAUCUGGACGGUGGGAGUAUUUAGCGCAACAGUCGAGGAGAGGACGUGACAAACGGAGCCCGUUGUCCAUCCAUGCAUCUUUUGUUGUAGAUCGCAGCAGAUGAGCACAACUCUUUCGCUCUUUGGGGCUAAUCAAAAGUCUGCAUUACUUAAAAAUGAGGCAUGAGGCAUGAGGCAUACGCAAGCUUGUUAAGAACAGAGCACGCGCGUUGUGAUCUGGGAAGAGGAGCCUAUGGAAGUGGUUUGCUGAGCCACAGCUUCCGCUGCAGCGUUCCCUUUUGAGGCGGAGGAGCGGUGGUAUCAGAGACGUGAGCCUCACGGUUCAGAACACGGAGGGUUUAAACUAGCGCCACGGCGUCCAGCACGUCCACCACAGUGGUGAGAAAUGCGCUCGCCAGAAUGUCAAGCCAGUCAAACAAAGGCCAACUUUAUCUGGUGUCCAGUUCUGCUUUUGCAAACUGCGUGCAUGCAAAGUGGAGUUGGGUGAUACAAGUAACGUUAAAAAAAACCAUACAGAUAAAGUGCCACAACACUUUUACUUCCACGUCACUUGCCACUGAGAUUGUGUGCAAAGCGUUUUUGUGUCUUACCGUUUUCACAAACGAGAAGAUCUGCUGACAAAAGCUGAAAGUCAACAUUUUAACUUAUUAUGGUUUCAGGUGAAACCCGAUGGACUGCUGGUGGAGUUUGCGUGGACGCU
ensembl:lncRNA